GGUUAAGCGACUAAGCGUACACGGUGGAUGCCCUGGCAGUCAGAGGCGAUGAAGGACGUGCUAAUCUGCGAAAAGCGUCGGUAAGGUGAUAUGAACCGUUAUAACCGGCGAUGUCCGAAUGGGGAAACCCAGUGCAAUUCGUUGCACUAUCGUUAACUGAAUACAUAGGUUAACGAGGCGAACCGGGGGAACUGAAACAUCUAAGUACCCCGAGGAAAAGAAAUCAACCGAGAUUCCCCCAGUAGCGGCGAGCGAACGGGGAGCAGCCCGGAGUCUGAAUCAGCUUGUGUGUUAGUGGAAGCGUCUGGACUGACUGACCGAUAGUGAACCAGUACCGUGAGGGAAAGGCGAAAAGAACCCCGGCGAGGGGAGUGAAAAAGAACCUGAAACCGUGUACGUACAAGCAGUGGGAGCCUCUUAAUGGGGUGACUGCGUACCUUUUGUAUAAUGGGUCAGCGACUUAUAUUCUGUAGCAAGGUUAACCGAAUAGGGGAGCCGAAGGGAAACCGAGUCUUAACUGGGCGUUAAGUUGCAGGGUAUAGACCCGAAACCCGGUGAUCUAGCCAUGGGCAGGUUGAAGGUUGGGUAACACUAACUGGAGGACCGAACCGACUAAUGUUGAAAAAUUAGCGGAUGACUUGUGGCUGGGGGUGAAAGGCCAAUCAAACCGGGAGAUAGCUGGUUCUCCCCGAAAGCUAUUUAGGUAGCGCCUCGUGAAUUCAUCUCCGGGGGUAGAGCACUGUUUCGGCAAGGGGGUCAUCCCGACUUACCAACCCGAUGCAAACUGCGAAUACCGGAGAAUGUUAUCACGGGAGACACACGGCGGGUGCUAACGUCCGUCGUGAAGAGGGAAACAACCCAGACCGCCAGCUAAGGUCCCAAAGUCAUGGUUAAGUGGGAAACGAUGUGGGAAGGCCCAGACAGCCAGGAUGUUGGCUUAGAAGCAGCCAUCAUUUAAAGAAAGCGUAAUAGCUCACUGGUCGAGUCGGCCUGCGCGGAAGAUGUAACGGGGCUAAACCAUGCACCGAAGCUGCGGCAGCGACACUAUGUGUUGUUGGGUAGGGGAGCGUUCUGUAAGCCUGUGAAGGUGGCCUGUGAGGGUUGCUGGAGGUAUCAGAAGUGCGAAUGCUGACAUAAGUAACGAUAAAGCGGGUGAAAAGCCCGCUCGCCGGAAGACCAAGGGUUCCUGUCCAACGUUAAUCGGGGCAGGGUGAGUCGACCCCUAAGGCGAGGCCGAAAGGCGUAGUCGAUGGGAAACAGGUUAAUAUUCCUGUACUUGGUGUUACUGCGAAGGGGGGACGGAGAAGGCUAUGUUGGCCGGGCGACGGUUGUCCCGGUUUAAGCGUGUAGGCUGGUUUUCCAGGCAAAUCCGGAAAAUCAAGGCUGAGGCGUGAUGACGAGGCACUACGGUGCUGAAGCGACAAAUGCCCUGCUUCCAGGAAAAGCCUCUAAGCAUCAGGUAACAUCAAAUCGUACCCCAAACCGACACAGGUGGUCAGGUAGAGAAUACCAAGGCGCUUGAGAGAACUCGGGUGAAGGAACUAGGCAAAAUGGUGCCGUAACUUCGGGAGAAGGCACGCUGAUAUGUAGGUGAAGCGACUUGCUCGUGGAGCUGAAAUCAGUCGAAGAUACCAGCUGGCUGCAACUGUUUAUUAAAAACACAGCACUGUGCAAACACGAAAGUGGACGUAUACGGUGUGACGCCUGCCCGGUGCCGGAAGGUUAAUUGAUGGCCCGAGACUCAGUGAAAUUGAACUCGCUGUGAAGAUGCAGUGUACCCGCGGCAAGACGGAAAGACCCCGUGAACCUUUACUAUAGCUUGACACUGAACAUUGAGCCUUGAUGUGUAGGAUAGGUGGGAGGCUUUGAAGUGUGGACGCCAGUCUGCAUGGAGCCGACCUUGAAAUACCACCCUUUAAUGUUUGAUGUUCUAACGUGGGCCCCUUACCGGGGUUGCGGACAGUGUCUGGUGGGUAGUUUGACUGGGGCGGUCUCCUCCUAAAGAGUAACGGAGGAGCACGAAGGUUGGCUAAUCCUGGUCGGACAUCAGGAGGUUAGUGCAAUGGCAUAAGCCAGCUUGACUGCGAGCGUGACGGCGCGAGCAGGUGCGAAAGCAGGUCAUAGUGAUCCGGUGGUUCUGAAUGGAAGGGCCAUCGCUCAACGGAUAAAAGGUACUCCGGGGAUAACAGGCUGAUACCGCCCAAGAGUUCAUAUCGACGGCGGUGUUUGGCACCUCGAUGUCGGCUCAUCACAUCCUGGGGCUGAAGUAGGUCCCAAGGGUAUGGCUGUUCGCCAUUUAAAGUGGUACGCGAGCUGGGUUUAGAACGUCGUGAGACAGUUCGGUCCCUAUCUGCCGUGGGCGCUGGAGAACUGAGGGGGGCUGCUCCUAGUACGAGAGGACCGGAGUGGACGCAUCACUGGUGUUCGGGUUGUCAUGCCAAUGGCACUGCCCGGUAGCUAAAUGCGGAAGAGAUAAGUGCUGAAAGCAUCUAAGCACGAAACUUGCCCCGAGAUGAGUUCUCCCUGACUCCUUGAGAGUCCUGAAGGAACGUUGAAGACGACGACGUUGAUAGGCCGGGUGUGUAAGCGCAGCGAUGCGUUGAGCUAACCGGUACUAAUGAACCGUGAGGCUUAACCUU
rnacentral:rRNA from 1 species